UUUUUUGAAAAGAAAUUGUUGCGCUCACCCAAGCAACCUUUGCAGAUUACUAAAGUGGAACAAAUGUUGCACAAGAAAGAGAUGAAUUUCUGGAGAGAGCAACUGAUUGCAAACUUGUUGAAGAUUCUCAUAUGGAGUCACAUCUACCUUUGGCAGGAGAAAUAGGACCUUAUGGCAAAAACAUCAAAGAAGACUAAAAUAACUCAAGCUAAGGACAAACAUAUAGCUAAGGGUACAAACUAUUGUCAUUAUAUAGACACUUAAUCUUUGAAGUGUUCUUGUAUGAUUGAUGGGAGUUUCUGUGCAACAUUAUUAGCAAAGAAGGCAAAAAAAAAAAAAAAAAUGAAGUCUAAUAUCUUAAAAGACAAGAUACAAAGCAUAUCUGAUUCAUCCCACCAACUUACUGAAGUGGUUGUCGAGCAUAAUAAAGGCAAAAGAGUCCCACAAACACCAACACUCAAGUCAAGGAGUGGCUGAACAAUCAAGCGAAGAACAUUGGGCUAAUGAAGUGAAAGAUUUUAUGAGACUUUGAAACAACUUGUGUAUGUACUUUGUACAAUUCUCUAGCUAU